UGUUGUGGGUGAACAGUGCUAGCUUGAUUCAUCAAUCAAUGUUUAUGAUGAUAUUAUUAGUGGACAUCCUAUGAUGAUCUCUUCUAUUUGUUCAUGGUGCUAUGUGAAGUAAACUAGGCUUUCUAGGAGCCUUCUGAGUCAUUAGAUAGGAACAGUAACUGCAAUUGUUAUUCAGGCUAAUUUGGAUUCACUGCACACUACGUGAUGGAGAAAGACUUACAAAGGGCUCAGGGGGAAGAAGUUAGUGAGAGAGGUUUGCCUCUUGUCCAUGAAACUGGAGAUGAUCUUCAGGUUACUUAUCAGGAAGUGGAAGGAACAAGAGAACUCAACUAUCAGCAGUCCAUAGAAGUUCAGCAUGUUACUCAUCAUCAGACAAUUGAAACAGAACAUCUCCAACAGCGAUCAGUUGAUGUUCAGCAGGUUCAACAGUUUUCUUCCCAACAUUCUUAUGAAGCACAAAAUAUUACCCACAAGCAUUCAUUUAGUAGAGAGGAAAAUUCUCAACAGCAGUCAUAUAGCAUACAAGAUGGAGUUAUUCAUCAUCUUGAUGAAGCAGAUCAAAAUCAGAUUAUUCACCAACAGUUAGUUGAGGUUCAGCAAAUUACUCAGCCCAUUGAAAAAAAUCAAAUUAUUGAUGCUGUCCUUACUUCUCAGAGUCCCCAAGAAGGAAAGCAGAUUCCUCAAGCAGGAUUGCUUAUUGUAAAGCACACUACUACUGAACAGGUUUCAGGGGGGAUACAAUGUACAGUUGAUAGUCAGAAAAGCUUUCAAUUAGAGUACAAUACUCAAGAAAAACAAAUUGAUCAUGGCAACUCCACCAUUAUCAGUGGAAAACAGACUGAUGAUGAGAAAGAUGGCUCAUGGCAUGAUGCUUUGAAAGGUGCCUGGGAGCAAAGCUUUGGUCAGAUUGGUGGCAGUGAACAGAUAUUGGACAAGUAUGGGAAAGAAAUGUCAGUUGAAAAAAUAUGUGGCACUGUCACAAAUAGAAAAGAAGAUGCAAACAAUGCAGAAUUUACUGAAGACAAGCAGUAUAAUUUUGAUGGUAAAGAUGUUGCUGAUGGAGAUUCAGAAAAUCCUUUUCGAGAAACCUGUCAAGGAACAGAGUGGAAGGAAAGUAUUACACAGUGGGAGGAUUCAGCCACAGAGAGUAUUACAGCUGGAAAAGUCCGAGAGGGGUUUACUAGGACGUCUGGAAGAUCAGCUUCACAGUCAUCUAGUGAAUGUUCUUUAGAUGCUAUGAGCUCUCCCAAAAGUUGUGACAAAGGUGCAGUUUUUAAGUUUUCACACUGGACACCUGGUCGAACUCAGUCUGUCCGUCAAAUCAAGGUUCGUACGCAAGAUGUUCGUCGGACAACAAGUGUUGGAGGGGAAAAUGAACCUUGGUAUUCUACAAUGGAACAUCAUAUCAGAGUCUUAAAAGAUGAGAGAGAGAGCGUGCAGAAGAAGACUUUCAUGAAAUGGGUGAAUUCCCACCUGGUACGAGUGAACGCACGUAUAGGAGACCUAUAUGUGGACUUACGAGAUGGAAAGCAGCUCAUCAAACUCCUGGAAAUUCUUUCAGGAGAGAGAUUGCCACGACCGACCAAAGGAAAGAUGCGAAUUCACUGCUUGGAAAAUGUAGACAAAGCUCUUCAGUUCCUUCGUGAUCAGCGAGUCCACUUGGAGAACAUGGGUUCCCAUGAUAUUGUGGAUGGCAAUGCUCGCCUCACACUUGGUCUUAUCUGGACUAUCAUCCUUCGCUUCCAGAUCCAAGACAUCACCAUUGAAGAGACUGAGAACCAAGAGACCAAGAGUGCUAAGGAUGCUUUACUCCUCUGGUGCCAGAUGAAGACAGCUGGUUAUCAUAAUGUUAACAUCAGGAACUUUACCACCUCAUGGAGGGAUGGUUUAGCCUUCAAUGCUAUCAUUCACAAGCACAGGCCUGACUUGAUUCAGUAUGAGAAAUUGUCACGGUCAAAUGCAAUGUACAACCUCAAUAAUGCCUUCAAUGUUGCAGAAAACAAGUUAGGUCUCACCAAACUGUUGGAUGCAGAGGAUGUCUUUGUUGAACAGCCUGAUGAGAAGUCAAUUAUCACCUAUGUUGUCACCUACUACCACUACUUCUCCAAACUCAAGCAGGAGACAGUCCAGGGCAAACGUAUUGGCAAGGUUGUAGGUAUUGCAAUGGAGAAUGACAGAAUGAUUAGGGAAUAUGAGAGUCUUACAUCAGAUUUACUGAAGUGGAUUGAAGUCACUAUUGAAUCCCUAAAUGACAGAGUUUUCACCAACUCGCUUACUGGUGUACAAACGCAGCUCACACAAUUCAAUACUUACCGCACUGUGGAGAAACCACCAAAAUUCGUUGAGAAGGGCAACCUGGAGGUGCUGCUCUUCACUCUCCAAUCCAAAAUGAGAGCCAAUAACCAGAAACCCUAUUUGCCAAAGGAGGGCAAGAUGAUUAGUGACAUCAACAAGGCCUGGGAACGCCUGGAGAAGGCUGAGCAUGAACGUGAGUUGGCAUUGAGAGAGGAACUCAUUCGUCAAGAGAAGCUUGCACAACUUGCUGCUAGGUUCAACCGUAAGGCUGGCAUGAGAGAGACCUGGUUGUCUGAGAACCAGAGAUUGGUUUCCCAGGAUAACUUUGGUUUUGAUCUGGCUGCUGUUGAAGCUGCAGCAAAGAAGCACGAAGCCAUUGAGACAGACAUAUUUGCUUAUGAGGAGCGUGUACAGGCAGUAGUCUCAGUUGCUAAUGAGCUAGAAGCAGAACGUUAUCAUGAUAUCGAACGUAUCAAUGCUAGGAAAGACAACGUGCUACGCCUCUGGAACUACCUGCUUGAGCUUCUCAGGCUGCGCCGUAUGAGGCUUGAACUGUCUCUACAAUUGCAACAGAACUUCCAGGAAAUGAUGUAUAUCUUGGACUCCAUGGAAGACAUGAAGCUCCGUCUCCUGAGUGAAGACUAUGGAAAACAUCUCAUGGGUGUGGAGGACUUGUUACAGAAGCACUCUCUGCUGGAGGCUGACAUCAAUGUCUUGGGUGAACGUGUCAAGACAGUAAUUGAACAUUCUCAGCGGUUCCUUGAUGAUGAACAGGUUGAAGGAUAUCGUCCAUGUGACCCAUCUAUUGUGCUGGAGCGUGUGCAGCAACUCGAAGAUGCAUAUGGUGAGCUUGUCAAGUUGGCUGUUGAGAGGCGUCUCCGCCUGGAAGAGUCACGCAAGUUGUGGCAGUUCUACUGGGACAUGGCAGAGGAAGAGAACUGGAUCAAGGAGAAAGAACAGAUUCUCUCCACCUCAGACAUUGGGCAUGAUCUCAUUACUGUAAACUUGCUCUUGACCAAACACAAAACAGUUGAAGAAGAGUUGUUGUCACAUGAUCCACAACUCAAGGCAGUUGUCAAGAGUGGAGAAGAGCUUAUUGCUCAGCAACACUUUGGCUCUGAUAAGAUUCAGGAAAGAAUUGAUGAAAUUAUGACCAUGUGGACUACCCUUACAGAGAGAUCAGCCAACCGUAAGAAGAGGCUGACCGAUGCUGUAGACCUGCAUCAAUUCUACACAGAAGCCGAUGAUGUUGAUACCUGGAUGUUGGAUAUUUUGCGACUGGUAUCAAGUGAAGAUACUGGCAGGGAUGAAGCCACUGUGCAGUCUCUCUUGAAGAAACACAAGGAUGUUACUGAUGAGCUGAAGAACUAUGCUAGCACAAUUGAACAGUUGCACCAACAGGCAUCAGAGCUCAAUGAGGUUGACAGAGAAUCACCUGUGGUCAUCGAAAGAUUGGCAUCGAUUGAUCGUAGAUACAAAGAAUUGCUUGAACUGGCUAAGGUGCGCAAGCAGAGAUUGCUGGAUGCUCUGUCACUAUAUAAAUUGUUCACAGAGGCAGAUGGUGUUGAACAAUGGAUUGCAGAAAAGGAGCGUAUGCUUCUUACCAUGGUGCCAGCUAAGGACAUUGAAGACUGUGAGAUCAUGAAGCACAGAUAUGAAGGAUUUGAACAAGAAAUGAAUGCCAAUGCUAGUCGAGUAGCAGUUGUGAACCAGCUGGCUCGUCAGUUGUUGCACGUUGAGCAUCCUAACUCAGAGGACAUCAUUGCCCGUCAGAACCAGCUAAACCAACGGUGGGCCGAGCUCAGAGAAAAGGCAGAAAGCAAGCGUGAAGAACUCAGCUCUGCCCAUGGUGUUCAAACAUUCCAUAUUGAAUGUAGAGAAACAGUUCUUUGGAUUGAAGAUAAGAAACGUGUGUUGAUGGAAACUGCCGACCUAGGCACAGAUCUCAGUGGCAUCAUGACACUCCAGCGUCGUCUCUCUGGCAUGGAAAGAGACCUGGCAGCUAUUCAGGCUAAACUUGAUGCCCUUGAAAGUGAAGCAGAUAAGAUCAGCCAAGAUCAUCCAGAAGAGGCUGAACUCAUCCGUGAGCGCAUUGAACAGAUCCGUUCAGUGUGGGACCAACUCACUCAGCUUCUCAAGGAGCGUGAUGCUAAACUUGAAGAGGCUGGUGAUCUUCAUCGCUUCUUGAGAGAUUUGGACCACUUCCAGUCAUGGUUAACCAAGACAAUGACAGAUGUGGCAUCAGAAGAUAUUCCUUCAAAUCUUGCAGAAGCAGAGAAGCUGCUGAGCCAGCACCAGUCCAUUCGCGAGGAGAUUGAUAAUUACACAGAAGACUAUAUUAAGAUGAUGGAGUAUGGUGAACGUAUUACAGCAGAAGAUGUUACGCCAGCAGAUGAUGCACAGUACAUGUUCUUGAGAGAGAGACUGAAGGCCCUCAAGGAUGGAUGGGCAGAGUUGCACCAGAUGUGGGAGAACAGACAGGAACUUCUGUCACAGUCCCUUAACUUACAGAUGUUCUUGCGUGAUGCCAAACAGGGAGAGGUUCUCCUCAGUCAACAGGAACAUUACCUUAGCAAGGAUGAGACUCCAACCAAUUUGGAACAGGCAGAGAACCUUAUCAAGAGGCAUGAGGCAUUCCUUACUACCAUGGAAGCUAAUGAUGAGAAGAUCAAUGGCAUCUGCCAGUUUGCUCAGAGAUUACUUGAUGAAGAACAUUUUGCUGCUGACAAAAUUCAGAAAAAGGCAGAAAAUAUUGAAGAACGCCGACAGCAGAAUAGAGAUCGCGCCAUGGAACAGAUGGAACGCCUACGGGACCAACUCCAAGUCCAUCAGUUCCUUCAAGAUUGCGAAGAACUUAAUGAUUGGGUACAAGAAAAACAUAUCAUUGCUCAAGAUGAGAGCUACCGAUCAGCUAAGACAGUUCACAGUAAAUGGACCCGACACCAGGCCUUCGAAGCAGAAAUUGCUAGUAACAAAGACAGAUUGGUUAGAGUACAAGAAGCUGGAGAAGUGUUGGUAAAAGAGAAGCCCGAAAUGGCUGAACUAAUUGGACCAAAGAUAUCGGAAUUAAAUCAACACUUUGAUGCCCUAGAAACCACCACUAAAGAAAAGGGAGAACGACUCUUUGAUGCUAACAGACAGGUGCUUUAUGAACAGACAUGUGAUGACAUUGACACCUGGAUGACAGAUCUUGAGAAGCAGAUUGAAGGUGGAGACACUGGAAUGGAUCUGACAUCUGUAAACAUUCUUAUGCAGAAGCAACAAAUGAUUGAGACACAGAUGGCUGUUAAGGCCAAGCAGGUUGAACAACUGGAGAGCCAGGCAGACUACCUGCAGCGCAUGACACCUGAGAAGACAGAGGAAAUCAAACACAUGAAGUCAAAAGUGGAAGCCAAAUUUGAGUCCCUUAAAGCUCCUCUUGUUGAACGCAAUGUGUUGUUAGCCAAGAAGAAAGAGGCAUACCAGUUCAGGAGAGAUGUUGAGGAUGAGAAGCUCUGGAUUUUAGAGAAAAUGCCUCUAGCAACAAGCCCUGAUUAUGGCAACUCCCUGUUCACCGUCCACAUGCUAAAGAAGAAACUCCAGUCCCUUAGUACAGAGAUUGAUAACCACGAACCUAGAAUUAAUUUAGUCUGUGACAAUGGUAGGAAGCUCAUUGAAGAGGGACAUGUGGAUGCUGAAGAAUUCCAGAAACUGCUUGAGGAUCUGCUCGAUCACUGGACCAAACUCAAAGAUGCUAUGGAACACAGGCGAUCGAAACUCCUGGUGUCUGAGAAAGCACAACAGUACCUCUUUGAUGCAGGUGAAGCUGAGGUAUGGAUGAGUGAGCAAGAGUUAUACAUGAUGGUAGAGGACAGAGGCAAGGAUGAAAUCUCCGCACAGAACCUGAUGAAGAAACACCAAACUCUAGAAAACUCUGUUGAUGACUAUGCUGAGACGAUAAGACAACUAGGAGAGACAGCUAGACAUCUCAUCAAUGAAGGCCAUCCUGACAGUGAACAGAUUGGUAUCCGACAAUCCCAAAUUGAUAAGUUGUAUGCAGGACUGAGAGAUCUGGCAGUUGAGCGCCGUAGUAAGUUGGAUGAAGCUCUCAAAUUGUUCAUGCUUAACCGUGAGGUUGAUGACUUGGAACAAUGGAUUGCUGAGAGGGAAGUGGUUGCAGGAUCUCAUGAACUUGGACAAGAUUAUGAACAUGUCACGAUGCUACGAGACAGAUUUAAGGAAUUCGCUCGUGAUACAGAGGCAACUGGAACAGAACGUGUUGCAGCUGUUAACGAGAUUGCUGAUCAGCUCAUAUCAGCUGGCCAUUCUGAUGCAGCAACGAUAGCAGAAUGGAAGGAUGGCUUGAAUGAAUCUUGGGCUGACCUCCUAGAGUUGAUUGAGACACGCACCCAGAUGUUGGCAGCUUCAUGGGAACUCCACAAAUUCUUCCAUGAUUGCAAGGAUGUUCUUAGCCGAAUUUUGGAGAAACAGAACAGUAUCUCGGAUGAGCUUGGGCGUGAUGCAGGUUCAGUAUCUGCACUACAGAGGAAACAUCAGAACUUUGUGCAGGAUCUGGUCAUGUUGAAACAACAGGUGGAACAAAUUCAAGAAGACUCAUCCAAGCUCCAAGCUGCUUAUGCUGGUGAUAAGGCGAGAGAGAUUACAAACAGAGAAGCUGAGGUUGUGUCUGCAUGGUUGAACAUGCAAGGAAUGUGUGAGGAUCGUCGUAUCAAACUCAACGACACUAGUGACUUGUUCAAAUUCUUCAAUAUGGUGCGCACACUUAUCCUCUGGAUGGAUGAUGUUAUUCGGCAGAUGAACACUACAGAAAAGCCAAGGGAUGUUAGUGGUGUAGAAUUACUAAUGAAUAACCAUCAGAGCCUGAAAGCGGAAAUUGACGCUCGAGAAGACAACUUCAAUGUGUGUGUGUCACUCGGAAAAGAACUUCUCUCUCGCAACCACUAUGCUUCAGGAGAGAUUAAAGACAAGUUGAUGUCUUUGAGUAACCAGCGCAACAACAUGCUUCAGCGCUGGGAGGAACGAUGGGAACAUUUGCAGCUCAUUCUGGAGGUGUACCAGUUUGCUCGUGAUGCUUCAGUUGCUGAACAGUGGCUAAUGGCACAGGAACCAUACCUAACUUCGACAGAACUUGGAGUAAGUUCUAUUGAUGAACUUAUGAAUUGGUUGAUGAUGAGGUCAAUUGAUGAUGUGGAAAAUCUCAUCAAAAAGCACGAAGCCUUUGAGAAGGCGUGUUCAGCUCAGGAGGAACGGUUUGCUGCGCUUGAGAGGUUAACAACGCUAGAAGCCAUAGCAAAAACAGAUUCUCCGAAGCCAUCAGAUGCCUUGGGUGAUGGGAGUAGCAUAGAAGUUCUUCCUUCAUUCAACUGUUUCAUCUCCCUUCCUCCCUAUUCCCCAAGACCACCCAACAUGCGUCGUCAUUCCUUACCCACCCCUGUACAUGCUUUCUUUACAGCAUUUUCAUGUCCUGCACUCACAGAAAUACAAGCCAACAGACACAGCUUUCCAAUUAGAUUGUCGUCUGAGAUUUCAUUAGUUAAGAUGUAUCCUAAAGGAUCUUUGAAGCGUCAUAGAAAGAGACUGAAUUCAAGCUCAAACCCACAACUCUCUCAGACCAUCCACAUAAAAGAUUCACACACUGAUAACCUCUUUGCAGAAAUGCGUAAUCAGAGAUGUAGUUAUUACAUAGACAGACCUGUUAGUGAUCCAGUGGAGAAUUCAGUGAUGAUUAGUUCAAAAGUGUCAUCAGUUGACAGCCCAUUCACCUCUCCAAGUGUCGGUAAUGAUAGAAAUGAUAAGAAAUCAGAUGGUAUGAUUUUACUAGAGGAACCACAAAAAGACUGGGAUUGUAAAUCAUCAAGUUCAGUUGGCGAGUUUGUAAGUCUAGAUCAUUAUGAAGCUCCCUAUCUAGAAGAGUCUUUGUAUAGAAUAACAGAAUUUUGCUUCUCUGAAAAGAAUGAACAUCAGGAUGUUGGUUUUGAAUGUACUGAUAAUGUUGUUUUAAGGGUGCCUGAAGAUGACAGUGGAGGUGAAAAUUGUCAGAGAAUAGGGAGAAGUCAGGUAUACAGUUUUGCUGAUAAUGUGAGAGAUAGCACAACCCUUCCUCCAAUAUAUGAAAUGGAGGGGGAAGGCCUUGAUGUCACAGAACUUAGCAACCCUUCUGGUUCUGUAGAGUUUUGGAGUUAUGAAAGUCUCUUAGAUGAUAAAACAGAUAUAGUUAAUAAUUCCACUGAUGCCCUAAGGAAUUCAGAGAGAGAAAAGGUUUUGUCCCAUGCUCAGUAUUGUGGAGAUAAUGAUUCCAUAAUGAGUUAUUAUCCAGUUAUUCCUUGUAAUGGCUUAAAAGACACAGUGCGUAAUGUGGACCAUCUUGUAGCUAGGCUAGAUGGUGUCUCUGUACAGGGGUGCCCCUCUCCUGCAUCUCCUUUUCCUCUAACACCUCCUAACACUUGUGAUUCCUCUCCUAAACUCACUAAUGGUAAACACACUCCAAGAAAUAACCUGCAUGCACUCUCUCAGGUGAAGUUUGAGUUGAAAGAACUCAAGAGGAAAGAAGAGGAGGAGGAGGAAGAACGACGAAGACAAGAGGAGUUGGCAAGACAAGCAGCUGCUCCUCCUCCUCAGUCACCUGACCAACCAACAGAUGGAAUUGAUGGUGCAGGAGAUGACUCACAUGUUAAUGGUGAAGAGCACGAUGAAUCACGAGAAGAGCAUGAAGAGGGUGCUGCAGUGAAGGGGGGAAGUGCACCUGGCACCCCUCGGCCCCCCUCCACUCCCGUCACCCCGACCCCAACAGCGGCUGCAGUCAGAGCCCGUCCGGGCUCGGCAACUCUCCCACCCAAGUCGUCGAUUUCACCCCUCGCCUCGAAACGGCCGAGUCCCAGUGGAGACGAAGAUCAGCUGGAAGGCAGUCUGGUUCGCAAGCAUGAAUGGGAGUCCACUACAAAGAAGGCAUCCAACAGGUCCUGGGAUAAGGUAUUUGUGGUGCUACGUGGCAACAUGAUUUUCUUCUAUAAAGACCGCAAGAGUUACCAGGCUGCCCCAGAAGUUUUCUUCAGAGCGGAAGCCCCUGUUGAUGUCUCUGGGGGAACAGCAUCUGUGGCAGAUGACUACACAAAGAAGAAGCAUGUCAUGCGACUCAAGCUUGUUGGUGGUGCUGAGUACCUGUUCCAAGCCAAAGAUGAAGAGGAGUUGGCAGUAUGGGUAGGAGCUCUUCAAGUUGCAGUAUCCUCUGAAGGAUCAGCUGGGCCUUCUCGCUCUCAGACAUUGCCUGCUGGCUCAGAGAAGAAAGACGAGCCAAAACGUCGCAGCUUCUUCACCCUCAAGAAGAAAUAAAUAAACUCUAAAAUUUGCCCCUCCUACUUUCCCCAUCCCAGAUGUAUAUCUCCCCUCCCCUCAUCUCGUUUCACUCACUCUUCCCCAUGUGAUCUUCUCUCCCUCUACAUCCUCUUAAGGAAACAUUAACCCCCCCCUCUCCCUUUUGCCCUCCAAAAGCAACUAUCCUAGAUCCUCCCGAGCCUAAUUUUGGACCCAGUGUGACACUUAUACUUGUGGGAGUUAGAAAGCUAGCGCUGGUUGGGUACAUGUUGUUGGCUGCUGUCUUUAAAUGCCGCUGGGAUUGGAAAGGAAAAACAAAAUCUGCUAUAUAAGCCAUCAUAAGCUUCUCUUUAUGCAGUAACUCCCAGGCUGGGUCUGAAUAGUCACAUGAUUAGGACUUGUUCUUAAUAUAUAUUUUUUUGUGCAUAUUUCCCCUCCCCCCCCUCUAUCUCCCUCUUUUAACAUACCUUUCCCUUUGCUGGGAUUUGAGUUGUGUAGAUGGUACCAUACAUGGUAUUACUGUUAUUAUUUUUUUUCCCCUAAGGAAUAUAAACUGUUAACAGUUUUGUGUAAUAGCUCUGGUGGAAGGACAUGCGAGUCUGUGCAGUUCCCAAUUCUUGUCUGCCUAGCACUGCCACGGCUGAGUUUUCCGAUUAGUGUUCCUCUAUGUGUAGAGGAUUGUGUGUGGAAAUGUAUAUUAAGUGUUUUGUCAUUUGUCACUUACUUUAUCCAAGUAAUGAUUUGUUAAUUUUUAUCAGUCUUUAGCUGUAGUAUCACAUUUUCAUUAGAUAGCACUAAUUGUACUGUACAGAAAUAAUAGAAUCAUACCUAUUAUGCUGCUUUGUGCUUACAUUUUUAGAGAUAUGAUAUUUCAUGUACCACUUCAUAGUCGUUCAAAUCAUUACCAGAGUAUGGAAGGCCAGCCAGUACCAUAAUUCUUGUGAAUGGGCAAAUACAUGCUGCUUUAAAAUGUAUGUGUGGCACAGUUAUAACCAUUUAUAUCCCAUAAACCUUUAAUCCUAAAUGGUCAUAUCCUACUAAAUCAAGUUCACAAGUUUGCUGUCUCUACUUUCAAAAACCAAAAAAUGCCAAAAAAAGGACUGAAGACCUGCAGAAUGAUGUGCUAAGACUGGCCACCCUCUACCAGACGGCCAAUGUGCCCUUGUGGUCAAGAUGAACACGGCCUGACCCAGAGAUGCUUUGUUACCCUGGUACUUGGUAGCUGGCCGCUGCUUGUCUUGUCAAGUCUUGCUAUACACAGUGAAGUUUGCUACUGUGAACAUGGAUAAUAAUUUCUGGUGGUCAUCUGUUGUUCCUGAUACUGAUUCUGUAAGAUUUUGUUUUAAUGAAGAAAUUAUUUUUCAGCAUUAUUGAAACAGGUAUAUUCAUUGUCGGUAUAUACCAUUUCUAAAUAAUUAGUUGAAAAUUGUUUCUCUUAAAAGGUGCUCCACAUGGAGAUCAAUAAAUUUUUAUCUUUUAUUUGAAUUUCUUUCUUUUAAUAAGAUGUUGAGAUUGGGUAAAGUGUCAGUUUAUGUUUUGUUUUCAUAUCAUUUGUGUAGAUUUUUUACAUUCUGAACCAUUACAUGGAACUGUUGCUUUAUAUAUUUUAUUCUGUACUGUAAGGGAGAGGACUAGUUUUCACAUGGUGUAUUCUUCUGAAAAAUAUAUUGAUACCAACUAG
rnacentral:misc_RNA from 1 species